GCCACCAUUCAUACUUCCACAUCCACACACGGCUUGGUGCCAUCUAAACGCCAUGACAUCGCCCAACAUCAUUCUUCCUUGUAUCAAUUUACCCUUCAAUUCUUAGCCUCUAAUUAUCUUUUUUAUCCCAAAAGCCUCUACCCAUCAUCCAUUUUGUCCCAACUUCCACUCCAUCCUGCACAUUCCUUUGUCCAUCAGUAACUAAACCACUCCCAUCCACACAUCCUCCUCCUGCCCCCUAGGGUUUCGCCUUAGCCAUUUAGAAGCCCCUUAGACUCCAUCCCUUAGUUGAGUUAAGCUAACCUUCCCCACUUCCAUUCCAAUGAAUAGAUCUUGGUUGUAAAUCAACCUUAUCCCUCCUAACUAGCAGUAUGCUCUAUGCCUACAACUCUUCAUCCAUAUUCACCACUUCAAUUCAAAUGAAUUAAUAUUAGUUGUAAAUCAACCUUAUCCCUCCUAACUAGCAACAUGUUCUAUGCCUACAACUCUUCAUCCGUGCACCCUUUUAUGUUUACCCAGCCUUUACUCUUUGUCUCUAAGCCUCUCUCGCCCUAAUACCCCUCUACCUUUGGAAGAUCCCAUUACCCAAGGUAUGCAAAAGCCACCCGAACCACACA
rnacentral:lncRNA from 1 species